CUACGGAGGGUGCAAGCGUUAUUCGGAAUCACUGGGCGUAAAGGACGCGUAGGCGGGUUGGCAAGUCAGAUGUGAAAUCCUACAGCUUAACUGUAGAACUGCAUUUGAAACUGCUAACCUAGAGUAUGGGAGGGGGAGAUGGAAUUAGUGGUGUAGGGGUAAAAUCCGUAGAUAUCACUAGGAAUACCGAAAGCGAAGGCGAUCUCCUGGAACAUAACUGACGCUAAGGCGUGAAAGCGAGGGGAGCAAACAGGAUUAGAAACCCUAGUAGUCC
rnacentral:rRNA from 1 species